GGAGGAGGAGCACAGGGUCAGGCACAGACGUCCUCACACCUGACUGGUGGGCAAGGUGUGCUUCAUUAGCAGCUACGGAAAAACACGAUACAGACACAUGUGUACGGAGAGGCAUAGAUAACAGACAGAUUGAUAGAUAGAUACACAUGUGUCCGGAGAGGCAUAGAUAACAGACAGAUUGAUAGAUAGAUACACAUGUGUACGGAGAGGCAUAGAUAACAGACAGAUUGAUAGAUAGAUACACAUGUGUCCGGAGAGGCAUAGAUAACAGACAGAUUGAUAGAUAGAUACACAUGUGUACGGAGAGGUAUAGAUAACAGACAGAUUGAUAGAUAGAUACACAUGUGUCCGGAGAGGUAUAGAUAACAGACAGAUUGAUAGAUAGAUACACAUGUGUCCGGAGAGGCAUAGAUAACAGACAGAUUGAUAGAUAGAUACACAUGUGUCCGGAGAGGCAUAGAUAACAGACAGAUUGAUAGAUAGAUACACAUGUGUACGGAGAGGCAUAGAUAACAGACAGAUUGAUAGAUAGAUACACAUGUGUACGGAGAGGUAUAGAUAACAGACAGAUUGAUAGAUAGAUACACAUGUGUCCGGAGAGGUAUAGAUAACAGACAGAUUGAUAGAUAGAUACACAUGUGUCCGGAGAGGCAUAGAUAACAGACAGAUUGAUAGAUAGAUACACAUGUGUACGGAGAGGCAUAGAUAACAGACAGAUUGAUAGAUAGAUACACAUGUGUCCGGAGAGGCAUAGAUAACAGACAGAUUGAUAGAUAGAUACACAUGUGUCCGGAGAGGCAUAGAUAACAGACAGAUUGAUAGAUAGAUACACAUGUGUCCGGAGAGGCAUAGAUAACAGACAGAUUGAUAGAUAGAUACACAUGUGUCCGGAGAGGUAUAGAUAACAGACAGAUUGAUAGAUAGAUACACAUGUGUCCGGAGAGGUAUAGAUAACAGACAGAUUGAUAGAUAGAUUCACGUGUUUGUGCUCGCAUCUAUGAAAUAUGUCUACAUAGACAAAUAGA